rnacentral:rRNA from 1 species
GACGAACGCUGGCGGCGUGCUUAACACAUGCAAGUCGAACGGAAAGGCCCUUCGGGGUACUCGAGUGGCGAACGGGUGAGUAACACGUGGGUGAUCUGCCCUGCACUUUGGGAUAAGCCUGGGAAACUGGGUCUAAUACCGAAUAGGACCACGCGCUUCAUGGUGUGUGGUGGAAAGCUUUUGCGGUGUGGGAUGGGCCCGAGGCCUAUCAGCUUGUUGGUGAGGUAAUGGCCUACCAAGGCGACGACGGGUAGCCGGCCUGAGAGGGUGACCGGCCACACUGGGACUGAGAUACGGCCCAGACUCCUACGGGAGGCAGCAGUGGGGAAUAUUGCACAAUGGGCGCAAGCCUGAUGCAGCGACGCCGCGUGAGGGAUGACGGCCUUCGGGUUGUAAACCUCUUUCAAUAGGGACGAAGCGCAAGUGACGGUACCUAUAGAAGAAGCACCGGCCAACUACGUG